GUAUUCCUUGACAAUCAUUUUUAGGACUUGUUGAUCAAUCGUUUUACGACGUGAGGAACCCAAUGGCUUUGAAAAAUAAAGAAGAUUGAAAUGGAAUUUCUGAAGACACGGCAGUUUGGCAAUUUAUGGGAUUAGAUUUUGAAACAGUUGUACUCUAAAAAUAUAUAUGUUUACAUUUAGUAGUAUAAAUAUUUACUUAUUUUUCUACUGUAUGUAUAAAUUAAUUAAUAAUAAUCAAAUAUUAAAUAUGAGAA